rnacentral:misc_RNA from 1 species
UUAAGUUCAGCGGGUAACCCUACCUGAUUCGAGGUCAAACCAUCUGUAAUAGAGGGGGGUUUUUUGACGGCUAGCCUCCGCCGGGGCCCGAUGCGAGAUCGUUGAGACACUACUACGCAGGGGACGCCGCGGCGGGACCGCCACUACAUUCCAGGGCCUGCGGGGCCGGUGGCGCUCCGCAGUGCCCCAACACCGAGCCG